GACAAACGCUGGCGGCGUGCUUAACACAUGCAAGUCGAACGGAAAGGCCCUGCGUUUGUGCUGUUCUCGAUUGCCGAACGCGUGAGUAUCACGUGUGUAUCCUGCCCUUGUCUUUGGGGGAACUUCAGGAAACUGGGGCUAAUAUCGGAUAGGAGCUCCUGCUCCAUGGGGGGGGUUGGAAAGUUUCGGCGGUUGGGGAUGGACUCGCGGCUUACCAGCUUGUUGGUGGGGUAGUGGUUGACCAAGGCUUUGACGGGUAGCCGGCCUGAGAGGGUGACCGGCGACCUUGGGACUGAGGGACGGCCCAGACAGGUACGGGAGGCAAAAGGGGGGAAUAUUGCACAAUGGGCGGAAGCCGGAUGAAGCAGCGCUGCGGGCGGGAAGACGGUCUUCUGGGUGUAAACCGCUUGCGCCUGUGACGAAGCGUGUGUGACGGUAACGGAUAAAGAAGCACCGGCUAACUACGUG
rnacentral:rRNA from 1 species